UUAAUGUUUUAUGUAUCAUUCUUAAUUGUCACUGUAUGUCAUGUUGUCACUUGCGGGCGAAGCACCAAGGCAAAUUCCUUGUAUGUAAUUACUUGGCCACUAAACUUAUUCAUUCUUUCAUUCACUUGUCCAGC